UACGUAGGGUGCGAGCGUUAAUCGGAAUUACUGGGCGUAAAGCGUGCGCAGGCUGUUUUGUAAGUCAGAUGUGAAAUCCCCGAGCUCAACUUGGGAACUGCGUUUGAAACUACAAGACUAGAAUAUGUCAGAGGGGGGUAGAAUUCCACGUGUAGCAGUGAAAUGCGUAGAGAUGUGGAGGAAUACCAAUGGCGAAGGCAGCCCCCUGGGAUAAUAUUGACGCUCAUGCACGAAAGCGUGGGGAGCAAGCAGG
rnacentral:rRNA from 1 species